rnacentral:rRNA from 1 species
CGGGAAUAUUGCGCAAUGGAGGAAACUCUGACGCAGUGACGCCGCGUAUGGGAAGAAGGUUUUCGGAUUGUAAACCAUUGUCGUUAGGGAAGAAAAAUUGACAGUACCUAAGGAGGAAGCUCCGGCUAACUAU